AACGAACGCUGGCGGCAUGCCUAACACAUGCAAGUCGAACGAGACCUUCGGGUCUAGUGGCGCACGGGUGCGUAACGCGUGGGAACCUGCCCUUAGGUUCGGAAUAACUCCCCGAAAGGGGUGCUAAUACCGGAUAAUGUCUUCGGACCAAAGAUUUAUCGCCUUUGGAUGGGCCCGCGUUGGACUAGCUAGUUGGUAGGGUAAAAGCCUACCAAGGCGACGAUCCAUAGCUGGUCUGGGAGGAUGAUCAGCCACACUGGGACUGAGACACGGCCCAGACUCCUACGGGAGGCAGCAGUGGGGAAUAUUGGACAAUGGGCGAAAGCCUGAUCCAGCAAUGCCGCGUGAGUGAUGAAGGCCUUAGGGUUGUAAAGCUCUUUUACCCGGGAUGAUAAUGACAGUACCGGGAGAAUAAGCUCCGGCUAACUCCGUG
rnacentral:rRNA from 1 species